AACGCGAAGAACCUUACCCGGGCUCGAAGUGCUACUGACCAGCGGUAGAAAUAUCGCCUUCUCGCAAGAGACAGUAGUAGAGGUGCUGCAUGGCUGUCGUCAGCUCGUGCCGUGAGGUGUUGGGUUAAGUCCCGCAACGAGCGCAACCCUUACUCUUAGUUGCCACCCGCAAGGGGGAACUCUAAGAGGACUGCUCCGGAUAACGGAGAGGAAGGUGGGGAUGACGUCAAGUCAGCAUGGCCUUUAUGUCCGGGGCUACACACGUGUUACAAUGCAUGGUACAAACUGUUGCGAUCCCGCGAGGGGGAGCUAAUCGGAGAAAACCAUGCUCAGUUCGGAUUGCAGUCUGCAACUCGACUGCAUGAAGCCGGAAUCGCUAGUAAUGGCGUAUCAGAACGACGCCGUGAAUACGUUCCCGGGCCUUGUA
rnacentral:rRNA from 1 species